UGGCUCCAGAGUAUGCAAUGCAUGGACAUAACUCUGUGAAGUCAGAUGUAUAUAGUUUUGGCGUCUUAAUUCUUGAGAUAAUAAGCGGCAAAAAGAACAGUUCUUUUUGUCAAUCAGAUGGAGCUGAGGACCUCUUGAGCUAUGCAUGGAAACAUUGGUGCAAUGAGACACCACUGCAAUUUAUGGAUCCAGUUCUCAGAGAUUCUUAUAAAAGAAAUGAGAUCAUUAGAUGCAUGCAUCUUGGUUUGUUGUGUGUUCAGGAAAAUCCAGGUGAUAGGCCUACCAUGAAAUCAAUAAUUAUCAUGCUUAGCAGUUCCUCCAUUGCUUUUCCACUGCCAGAACAACCUGGAUUUUUCCUUCACGGUGGAAUAGACAUGGAAACCCAAUCAAAGGAGCUGGAAUCUAAUCAAUCUGCUAGUAGGUCUAUACAAUUAUCUGUCAAUGAAAUGUCAGUUACUGAAUUAUACCCUCGUUAGAGCAAGUAAUUAGCCGAUAAUAAGGUUUCUGUAAAAGCUUGUUGAUCGAGAAUACAUUUUUUGAUCGCAUUGAUUAUGAAAGUGUUUGGUUUGAUUUAUAAAUUAAUUAAAUCUAUUUAUAAGCAG
rnacentral:misc_RNA from 1 species